rnacentral:misc_RNA from 1 species
AAAGGGGAUCAACAACAAAUGGCCAAAAAAUAGCAGUUCAAAUGUGUUCAUGCAUUCUCAACCACAGACACGUGUACACUGAAAAUGCUUACAUAUACAAAAUGUGUAUAUUGGGCACAGCUAACAAGUAUGUGCAUGCCUUUUUAUGCUCUUUAAUGACAUAAAAGACAUGAAAUUGACCAAGCAAUUGAGUACAUAAAAUCAUUAGGUGCAAAUGAGUCAAUACAAAAUUGUAUAAUUUAGUCCACCAAAUAUCAUAAUUCUCAUUGUAUGAGAUAAUAUAAUAUGCACCUUAUUG